CACUCAUGCAAUUCCAGACCAGGGUUUGAGCAUGCCAGUUGCUUGAACUAACGUUCCACUGGCCUCGUUUAGAACUAUUUGUGUUGGCGGAGAAGAAAUAUACAAAGCCACUAUCCAAAUUUCGCCUGAAAUGCACUUAGGAUGUUUGAGUUGGAGGCUGAUCCUGAUGUUUGGUGGCUACAGCAGAGACCUGAGAGGAGGUGAUAACAGCAUUGGAACUAGACAUGUGUCUCAUCCUGAUGAGAUGAGUGGUGAAAGUUUUGGAGUCAGUCUCAGCAUCUUUAAGCUACAAGUGAAACGCAAGGCCACAGUCUGAAGUUCGCAGUUCACCAGCUCAGAUUUCUGCGAUACACCGGCACGAGAAUUAGCACUGAUUCAGGAAAAAGCAAUUGCAGAGAACAGUUGAAUACACUAUAAUCAAAACGCUUCUUUUAAAUGUUACAUUUUUAUAUCUAAA